CCCUUAGAUGUUCUGGGCUGCACGCGCGCUACACUGAUGCGCUCAACGAGUUUAUGACCUUGCCCGGAAGGGUUGGGUAAUCUUUUCAAAACGCAUCGUGAUGGGGAUAGAUUAUUGCAAUUAUUAAUCUUCAACGAGGAAUUCCUAGUAAGCGCGAGUCAUCAGCUCGUGCUGAUUACGUCCCUGCCCUUUGUACACACCGCCCGUCGCUACUACCGAUUGGGAAAAUUUUAGAGAGUCCUGGACUGAUGAUUGUUCGGCUUCACGGCCUUACUUUCGUCGGGAAAGAAUUCGAUAAUAUUUUUCUAGAGGAAGUAAAAGUCGUAACA
rnacentral:rRNA from 1 species